UACGGAGGGUGCAAGCGUUAAUCGGAAUUACUGGGCGUAAAGCGUGCGCAGGCGGUUUGUUAAGUCCGCUGUGAAAUCCCCGAGCUCAACUUGGGAAUUGCAGUGGAUACUGGCAAGCUGGAGUAUGGUAGAGGAAGGUGGAAUUCCCGGUGUAGCAGUGAAAUGCGUAGAGAUCGGGAGGAACACCAGUGGCGAAGGCGGCCGGCUGGGGGUGCCCUGACGCUGAGGCGCGAAAGCGUGGGGAGCGAACCGG
rnacentral:rRNA from 1 species